rnacentral:piRNA from 1 species
UUGUUCUGAUAAAAAAGCGAA